GAACAAAUAAUAAAAGUAGGAAACAUAGGGGAAUAGAUAAAAAAAUAUAGAAAUUGAUCACCUUGACGGUUUGACUUUUCCUGGACGACACCUACAGCGGCGACACCACCUCCUGCACGCGCGGCAUCCCCUUCCUGUGUGCGCGUGGCUACUCCUCCCUCUAUGCCGGCUGCUUCUCCCUACACGGCAGCUGCUCUAACUGUACGCGCGGCAGCUGCUCCCUGUGCGCGCGCGGCUCCUAUGCGUGUGGCUCCUCCUCCUCCUUGUGUGCGCGGCAGUUCCCUGCAUGCCCCUCCCUGCACGGCGUCAGGUCCUCCCUGUUGAGUGGUGGCGUUCUUAUGGUGGUCGUGCUAUUGAGUUACAAAGAUUUGCUAGACGUUUGGUGCUUUGUGCGUCAUCAUUAGGUUGGGAACGCGAUCGAAGUACCUUUGUAUUUGCACUGAAGUUGGGCGUAGGUGUGACCUUACAUAGGACCUCGUGGAUAAUGUCAUUGGAGCAUCAGAAGCAUUUUGUGGCCGAAACUUUCCAAGAGAAGGCCACAAUGUGUUUUCAAGAAGAAAUUCUAUUGCUGCACAAAAUGUGGUAGAGGUUGAAGAGAAAGAUGAAAAUGAUCCACAUGAUAAUGCAAAAAUCAUAGAUUGUGGAGAUGAACCUGGUGCUAUCAAUGAUAGUGAAGAAUGGGAGGCACCCAAUAUCUCAGAAGAGUUCGAUGAUGAUUUGAAAGAUGGGAGAGUAGCUAUUACUAGAAUAUAUUAGCAUAUUUGCUACAUUAGCAGCUAGUUACUAUUAAUUAUACUAUUAGAAACUGUCUAUGUCAGAUUAGAUAUUGUGUUGCUUUAUAUUUUGUAUUAUUCCAUUAGAGACUACUUUAUCGAUA